rfam:Dipodomys ordii contig_70602, whole genome shotgun sequence.
GUGAAGGUAGCUCAGUGGUAGAGUGCUUGCCUUGCAUGCAUGAGGCCCUGGGUUCGAUUCCUCAGCACCACA